rnacentral:rRNA from 1 species
UCCGGAAUUAUUGGGCGUAAAGGGCUCGUAGGCGGUUUGUCGCGUCGGGAGUGAAAACCCAGGGCUUAACUCUGGGCUUGCUUUCGAUACGGGCAGACUAGAGGUAUGCAGGGGAGAACGGAAUUCCUGGUGUAGCGGUGAAAUGCGCAGAUAUCGGGAGGAACACCGGUGGCGAAGGCGGUUCUCUGGGCCUGUACUGACGCUGAGGAGCGAAAGCGUGGGGAGCGAACAGG